AUGGAGCCCUUCAGCCAGAGUUUGUGGUGUUUGGGCAGCAGGAGCCGUCCCGGGGCCAGCAGGGGCCAGGCUUGCUUUAGUUCCUCUCCAGCCUGGGAGCUGCCCGGGCUCUGCCUGUGUUGGGCAGAGUGCGACACUGUGCUGGACUGUGUGACACCCUGUGCUGUGCAGUGUGUGACACUGUCCUGGACUGUAUGUGACACCCUGUCCUGUGCAGUGUGUGUGUGCUCUGUGUUCUGUACAGCCCAUGGAACUCCAUGUCCUGUACAGUCCCCAUGUGUCACAUCCUGUACAGCCUGUGUGCAUCGUGUCCUGUACAACCCAUGGAACUCCAUGUCCUGUCCAUCCUGUGUGCUCCACGUACAUCAUGUCCUGUCCAUCCCUGUACUCCAUGUACAUCAUGUCCUGUCCAUCCCUGUACUCCAUGUCCUGUCCUGUCCAUCUCCUGUUUCAUGUACAUCAUGUCCUGUCCAUCCCUGUACUCCAUGUCCUGUCCUGUCCAUCCCUGUACUCCAUGUACACCAUGUCCUGUCCAUCCCCAUAUUCCAUCCGCUGUCCAUCCCUGUCCCCCAUGUCUUUUCCAUCCCUGUCCCCCGUGUCCUGCCUGGCAGCCCAGGGGUGACUCCAGAGCUGAGGCUGCUCCUGCAGUCCCCCAGCACCCAGGGGCCUGUGGAGGAUAAGGGGUCACUGCAGUCCAGACUCGGAGGUGUCAUUGGGAAUUUAGAGUUGGCACAAGUAUUAACUUUUAACAGUCUUUAUUCUCGGUGUUGUAGUAUCCUUUCCUUUCGCACCACCAACUUUUGGGGCUCUCCAGGGGUUUUCACGGAACAAGUCUGUAGUGUAAAACUAAAAGAUCAUGUUGCAACUUUGUAUAAAAACCAUCUUGCAAAACAAAGGCCUUUUUUUUUUCUUUGGCUUGGGACUUUUGAGACAAUUCCUAACAUACCUGUAAUUCUUGCUUUUAUAAUUUGUGUUAGCAGAGACUCUGAUGCGUUGGAAAUGUAG
rnacentral:lncRNA from 1 species